rnacentral:rRNA from 1 species
GAUGAACGCUGGCGGCGUGCCUAAUACAUGCAAGUCGAGCGAACAGACGAGGAGCUUGCUCCUCUGAUGUUAGCGGCGGACGGGUGAGUAACACGUGGAUAACCUACCUAUAAGACUGGGAUAACUUCGUGAAACCGGAGCUAAUACCGGAUAACAUGUUGAACCGCAUGGUUCAACAGUGAAAGACGGUCUUGCUGUCACUUAUAGAUGGAUCCGCGCCGCAUUAGCUAGUUGGUAAGGUAACGGCUUACCAAGGCAACGAUGCGUAGCCGACCUGAGAGGGUGAUCGGCCACACUGGAACUGAGACACGGUCCAGACUCCUACGGGAGGCAGCAGUAGGGAAUCUUCCGCAAUGGGCGAAAGCCUGACGGAGCAACGCCGCGUGAGUGAAGAAGGUCUUCGGAUCGUAAAACUCUGUUAUUAGGGAAGAACAAAUGUGUAAGUAACUAUGCACGUCUUGACGGUACCUAAUCAGAAAGCCACGGCUAACUACGUG